rnacentral:rRNA from 1 species
GGUUAAGCGACUAAGCGUACACGGUGGAUGCCCUGGCAGUCAGAGGCGAUGAAGGACGUGCUAAUCUGCGAUAAGCGUCGGUAAGGUGAUAUGAACCGUUAUAACCGGCGAUUUCCGAAUGGGGAAACCCAGUGUGAUUCGUCACACUAUCAUUAACUGAAUCCAUAGGUUAAUGAGGCGAACCGGGGGAACUGAAACAUCUAAGUACCCCGAGGAAAAGAAAUCAACCGAGAUUCCCCCAGUAGCGGCGAGCGAACGGGGAGCAGCCCAGAGCCUGAAUCAGUGUGUGUGUUAGUGGAAGCGUCUGGAAAGGCGCGCGAUACAGGGUGACAGCCCCGUACACAAAAAUGCACAUGCUGUGAGCUCGAUGAGUAGGGCGGGACACGUGGUAUCCUGUCUGAAUAUGGGGGGACCAUCCUCCAAGGCUAAAUACUCCUGACUGACCGAUAGUGAACCAGUACCGUGAGGGAAAGGCGAAAAGAACCCCGGCGAGGGGAGUGAAAAAGAACCUGAAACCGUGUACGUACAAGCAGUGGGAGCACGCUUAGGCGUGUGACUGCGUACCUUUUGUAUAAUGGGUCAGCGACUUAUAUUCUGUAGCAAGGUUAACCGAAUAGGGGAGCCGAAGGGAAACCGAGUCUUAACUGGGCGUUAAGUUGCAGGGUAUAGACCCGAAACCCGGUGAUCUAGCCAUGGGCAGGUUGAAGGUUGGGUAACACUAACUGGAGGACCGAACCGACUAAUGUUGAAAAAUUAGCGGAUGACUUGUGGCUGGGGGUGAAAGGCCAAUCAAACCGGGAGAUAGCUGGUUCUCCCCGAAAGCUAUUUAGGUAGUGCCUCGUGAAUUCAUCUCCGGGGGUAGAGCACUGUUUCGGCAAGGGGGUCAUCCCGACUUACCAACCCGAUGCAAACUGCGAAUACCGGAGAAUGUUAUCACGGGAGACACACGGCGGGUGCUAACGUCCGUCGUGAAGAGGGAAACAACCCAGACCGCCAGCUAAGGUCCCAAAGUCAUGGUUAAGUGGGAAACGAUGUGGGAAGGCCCAGACAGCCAGGAUGUUGGCUUAGAAGCAGCCAUCAUUUAAAGAAAGCGUAAUAGCUCACUGGUCGAGUCGGCCUGCGCGGAAGAUGUAACGGGGCUAAACCAUGCACCGAAGCUGCGGCAGCGACGCUUAUGCGUUGUUGGGUAGGGGAGCGUUCUGUAAGCCUGCGAAGGUGUGCUGUGAGGCAUGC